GAUGAACGCUGGCGGCGUGCCUAAUACAUGCAAGUCGAGCGAACAGACGAUGCGCUUGCUCCUCUGACGUUAGCGGCGGACGGGUGUGUCACACGUGGAUACCGUACCUAUAAGACUGGGAUAACUUCGGGAAACCGGCGAUAAUCGCAGAUAAUCUAUUGCACCGCAUGGUUGAUUAGUGAAAUACGGUUUUGCUGUCUGUUCUCGCUGGAUCCCAGCCGCAUUAGCUAGUUGGUAAGGUAACAGCUUACCAAGGCAACCAUGCGUAGCCGACCUGAGAGAGUGGUCGGCGACACUGGAACUGAGACACGGUCCAGACUCCUACGGGAGGCAGCAGUAGGGAAUCUUACGCAAUGGGCGAAAGCUUGACGGAGCAACGCCGCGUGAGUGAUGAAGGUCUUCGGAUCGUAAAACUCGGUUAUGAGGGAAGAACAGAUGUGGAAGUAACUGUGGACGUCUUGACGGUACCGAGUAAGAAAGCAACGGCUAACUACGUG
rnacentral:rRNA from 1 species